CCCAACUUACUUCCUCUGAUUUUCCCUGGACAGGCUGUAAAGAUGCGUGGGAUCUUUGCUAGUUGUGCGCUCUCAGCCCUGCUGCUGGCUGCAGCCUGGGCAGACCACCACCACCACCACGGCUCUGAACACAGCCACGAGGGAGAGUUGAGCUGCCACAAACUGUCCUCUCCCAAUGCUGACUUUGCCUUUGCCCUCUACAAACACCUGAGUACCAACGCUGCUGCCGGAAAAAACGUAUUCUUCUCACCGCUGGGCAUCUCCACCGCCCUGUCCAUGCUGUCUACAGGGGCCAGUGGUGAAACCCACCGCCAGCUGUUCUCCAGCUUGGGCUACAGUGCUCAAACCCAGGCACAGGUCAAUGAAGCAUACGAGCAUCUCUUCCACAUGAUGGGACACAGCCAGGAGAGCCAGCAGCUGGAUGUAGGUAACGGUGUGGCCGUGCGCUCCGGCUUCAGUCCUCUGGAGAAGUUCCUGAAGGAUAUCAAGCACUACUACUCUGCUGAUAUCUUCAACGUCGACUUCACCAAACCUGCCGAGGCUGCGGCACAGAUCAACACCUUCAUUGCCAGUAAAACCCAGGACAAGAUCAAAGAUAUGGUGAAGGACCUGGACAGUGAGAUGGCCAUGGUGCUGAUCAACUAUGUCUACUUCAGAGGACAAUGGGAGAAACCCUUCGAUGGGAACCAAACGCACAAGGCAGACUUCAAUGUGGACGAAGCCACCAAGGUCCAAGUGGAUAUGAUGAAGAGGAAUGGCCGCUACGAAUACUACCAGGACGCCGACAACCACACCACGGUUGUCAUGCUACCCUACAAGGGCAACACCUCCAUGAUGAUCGUCCUGCCCGAUGAAGGCAAGAUGAAGGAGGUGGAGGGCUACAUCAACAAGGACUACAUCAAGCACUGGCAUGACUCGCUCUUCAGGAGCUCUGUGGAUCUGUUCCUGCCAAAGUUUUCCAUCUCUGCUGAAGCCUCCCUGGACAGCCCACUCAAAGAACUGGGCAUAACCAACGCUUUUGCGGACAACGCUGAUUUCUCUGGCGUGUCCGACGAGAUCAAGCUCAAAGUCUCAAAGGUGUCCCACCAGGCAGUGCUGAGCGUGGACGAAACGGGAACAGAGGCAGCAGCCGUCAGCACCAUCGAGGUCAUGCCCAUGAGCAUGCCUGAAACGAUAAAACUCGACAGACCCUUCAUGGUCCUCAUCCUGGAGCACUCGACCAGGAGCAUCAUCUUCAUGGGAAAGAUCAGCAACCCCACAGCCGAGUAAAGAUGCUAGGGAAAAGAUGAGUGUUACAUGUGUUCCUUUUUCACACUGUAGUUGGGUUUUUUUUUGUUUUUUUUUUAGCCAAAGGACAUUAGCUCCUUUUUUUUUUUACCUUAGCAUUUGCAAGCCCUGUAAUGACAGUUUGAUGAACAAGAUGACAGAUCUAUCAUGGAGUAACAAAUGUCUGUCCAUUAAUCUGCUAUGCCGUCUGUCAACAUGACACAUUUAUUACCAUCUGUCAUCUGAAUCUGGUUUGGUGUACAAAUACUGAAAUGCAAAAUUGUAUAUUGUAUCCAGCUUGACUAUGUGAUGCAGAUAACUAAAACAUUAGAUAAAUCUUCUUUUUUUUUUUUUUUAAAACGUGCUUACACUCAUUUGGCUAUUGCUGUUUCAACAUGGUGAAGUGAAAUAAAGAAUUUUUUAAUCUGGG